rnacentral:rRNA from 1 species
ACCCCUAAGGCGAGGCCGAAAGGCGUAGUCGAUGGGAAACGGGUUAAUAUUCCCGUACUUGGUGUUACUGCGAAGGGGGGACGGAGAAGGCUAUGUUGGCCGGGCGACGGUUGUCCCGGUUUAAGCGUGUAGGUGUGUGUUCCAGGUAAAUCCGGUUCACUUUAACACUGAGGCGUGACGACGAGGCACUACGGUGCUGAAGCAACAAAUGCCCUGCUUCCAGGAAAAGCCUCUAAGCAUCAGGUAACAUCAAAUCGUACCCCAAACCGACACAGGUGGUCAGGUAGAGAAUACCAAGGCGCUUGAGAGAACUCGGGUGAAGGAACUAGGCAAAAUGGUGCCGUAACUUCGGGAGAAGGCACGCUGACACGUAGGUGAAGUGAUUUACUCAUGGAGCUGAAGUCAGUCGAAGAUACCAGCUGGCUGCAACUGUUUAUUAAAAACACAGCACUGUGCAAACACGAAAGUGGACGUAUACGGUGUGACGCCUGCCCGGUGCCGGAAGGUUAAUUGAUG